rnacentral:rRNA from 1 species
CGGCGGACGGGUGAGUAACGCGUGGGUAACCUGCCUCAUACAGGGGGAUAACAGUUAGAAAUGACUGCUAAUACCGCAUAAGACCACAGCACCGCAUGGUGCGGGGGCAAAAACUCCGGUGGUAUGAGAUGGACCCGCGUCUGAUUAGCUAGUUGGUAAGGUAACGGCUUACCAAGGCGACGAUCAGUAGCCGACCUGAGAGGGUGACCGGCCACAUUGGGGCUGAGACACGGCCCAA